rnacentral:rRNA from 1 species
GGGUUGUGAGGUUAAGCGACUAAGCGUACACGGUGGAUGCCCUGGCAGUCAGAGGCGAUGAAGGACGUGCUAAUCUGCGAUAAGCGUCGGUAAGGUGAUAUGAACCGUUAUAACCGGCGAUUUCCGAAUGGGGAAACCCAGUGUGUUUCGACACACUAUCAUUAACUGAAUCCAUAGGUUAAUGAGGCGAACCGGGGGAACUGAAACAUCUAAGUACCCCGAGGAAAAGAAAUCAACCGAGAUUCCCCCAGUAGCGGCGAGCGAACGGGGAGCAGCCCAGAGCCUGAAUCAGUGUGUGUGUUAGUGGAAGCGUCUGGAAAGGCGCGCGAUACAGGGUGACAGCCCCGUACACAAAAAUGCACAUGCUGUGAGCUCGAUGAGUAGGGCGGGACACGUGGUAUCCUGUCUGAAUAUGGGGGGACCAUCCUCCAAGGCUAAAUACUCCUGACUGACCGAUAGUGAACCAGUACCGUGAGGGAAAGGCGAAAAGAACCCCGGCGAGGGGAGUGAAAAAGAACCUGAAACCGUGUACGUACAAGCAGUGGGAGCACGCUUAGGCGUGUGACUGCGUACCUUUUGUAUAAUGGGUCAGCGACUUAUAUUCUGUAGCAAGGUUAACCGAAUAGGGGAGCCGAAGGGAAACCGAGUCUUAACUGGGCGUUAAGUUGCAGGGUAUAGACCCGAAACCCGGUGAUCUAGCCAUGGGCAGGUUGAAGGUUGGGUAACACUAACUGGAGGACCGAACCGACUAAUGUUGAAAAAUUAGCGGAUGACUUGUGGCUGGGGGUGAAAGGCCAAUCAAACCGGGAGAUAGCUGGUUCUCCCCGAAAGCUAUUUAGGUAGCGCCUCGUGAAUUCAUCUCCGGGGGUAGAGCACUGUUUCGGCAAGGGGGUCAUCCCGACUUACCAACCCGAUGCAAACUGCGAAUACCGGAGAAUGUUAUCACGGGAGACACACGGCGGGUGCUAACGUCCGUCGUGAAGAGGGAAACAACCCAGACCGCCAGCUAAGGUCCCAAAGUCAUGGUUAAGUGGGAAACGAUGUGGGAAGGCCCAGACAGCCAGGAUGUUGGCUUAGAAGCAGCCAUCAUUUAAAGAAAGCGUAAUAGCUCACUGGUCGAGUCGGCCUGCGCGGAAGAUGUAACGGGGCUAAACCAUGCACCGAAGCUGCGGCAGCGACGCUUAUGCGUUGUUGGGUAGGGGAGCGUUCUGUAAGCCUGUNNNNNNNNNNNNNNNNNNNNNNNNNNNNNNNNNNNNNNNNNNNNNNNNNNNNNNNNNNNNNNNNNNNNNNNNNNNNNNNNNNNNNNNNNNNNNNNCUGCGAAGGUGUGCUGUGAGGCAUGCUGGAGGUAUCAGAAGUGCGAAUGCUGACAUAAGUAACGAUAAAGCGGGUGAAAAGCCCGCUCGCCGGAAGACCAAGGGUUCCUGUCCAACGUUAAUCGGGGCAGGGUGAGUCGACCCCUAAGGCGAGGCCGAAAGGCGUAGUCGAUGGGAAACAGGUUAAUAUUCCUGUACUUGGUGUUACUGCGAAGGGGGGACGGAGAAGGCUAUGUUGGCCGGGCGACGGUUGUCCCGGUUUAAGCGUGUAGGCUGGUUUUCCAGGCAAAUCCGGAAAAUCAAGGCUGAGGCGUGAUGACGAGGCACUACGGUGCUGAAGCAACAAAUGCCCUGCUUCCAGGAAAAGCCUCUAAGCAUCAGGUAACAUCAAAUCGUACCCCAAACCGACACAGGUGGUCAGGUAGAGAAUACCAAGGCGCUUGAGAGAACUCGGGUGAAGGAACUAGGCAAAAUGGUGCCGUAACUUCGGGAGAAGGCACGCUGAUAUGUAGGUGAAGUCCCUCGCGGAUGGAGCUGAAAUCAGUCGAAGAUACCAGCUGGCUGCAACUGUUUAUUAAAAACACAGCACUGUGCAAACACGAAAGUGGACGUAUACGGUGUGACGCCUGCCCGGUGCCGGAAGGUUAAUUGAUGGGGUCAGCGCAAGCGAAGCUCUUGAUCGAAGCCCCGGUAAACGGCGGCCGUAACUAUAACGGUCCUAAGGUAGCGAAAUUCCUUGUCGGGUAAGUUCCGACCUGCACGAAUGGCGUAAUGAUGGCCAGGCUGUCUCCACCCGAGACUCAGUGAAAUUGAACUCGCUGUGAAGAUGCAGUGUACCCGCGGCAAGACGGAAAGACCCCGUGAACCUUUACUAUAGCUUGACACUGAACAUUGAGCCUUGAUGUGUAGGAUAGGUGGGAGGCUUAGAAGUGUGGACGCCAGUCUGCAUGGAGCCGACCUUGAAAUACCACCCUUUAAUGUUUGAUGUUCUAACGUUGACCCGUAAUCCGGGUUGCGGACAGUGUCUGGUGGGUAGUUUGACUGGGGCGGUCUCCUCCUAAAGAGUAACGGAGGAGCACGAAGGUUGGCUAAUCCUGGUCGGACAUCAGGAGGUUAGUGCAAUGGCAUAAGCCAGCUUGACUGCGAGCGUGACGGCGCGAGCAGGUGCGAAAGCAGGUCAUAGUGAUCCGGUGGUUCUGAAUGGAAGGGCCAUCGCUCAACGGAUAAAAGGUACUCCGGGGAUAACAGGCUGAUACCGCCCAAGAGUUCAUAUCGACGGCGGUGUUUGGCACCUCGAUGUCGGCUCAUCACAUCCUGGGGCUGAAGUAGGUCCCAAGGGUAUGGCUGUUCGCCAUUUAAAGUGGUACGCGAGCUGGGUUUAGAACGUCGUGAGACAGUUCGGUCCCUAUCUGCCGUGGGCGCUGGAGAACUGAGGGGGGCUGCUCCUAGUACGAGAGGACCGGAGUGGACGCAUCACUGGUGUUCGGGUUGUCAUGCCAAUGGCACUGCCCGGUAGCUAAAUGCGGAAGAGAUAAGUGCUGAAAGCAUCUAAGCACGAAACUUGCCCCGAGAUGAGUUCUCCCUGAC